rnacentral:lncRNA from 1 species
GUUUAUAUUAAACCUUUUAAAAAUUAUUAGGCAAGUAAACCUCAUUUUUCACAAGGGAAUUUAGAAAUAUUUGCAAUUCAGGCAAACCAGGUGAAUGAAAUAUCUACUGCUAUGAAAUGCCAAAAUGAAAUACUUACAGACAGGCUUUUCUCUUUGUCAGGCUGUUCACCUAUCUUUGCCAGGUUCUCAGCACGUGAACUCCAGUGGAAGGAAAACCCUUCGGGGUCUGCCUCGUGCACCCUUUUUCAGAGCUCAGCCACAGUAUGUGUAUCCAAAAUGGAGGUGAAACUCAUCUGGAGACAAGUUGGACUCACAGCUUGUCACAUGUUACAGCGUGGCAGAUCUGUUCCUUAAGUUCCAUGGUAAUCUGCAGCAGAGAUGAAACCAAGAAGUGACUCUGCAAACACAAAAUUAAAUUCUCCACUCCUACAUGUCUUCAAAUGACAUUAGUCCCUUGGGGUUUUUUUCCCCAGAGGAUUCCUUCCUGUGCAUCAUCACAGCAUCAUGGUCACUAUGGGCAACACAGAGCUAAGCCAGCUCUCUGGAUUCCCCAGUCUUCCCCAGGAAAACAGAUACUUUCCAAGGGCAAUUCAACCUUCACUUUUGGCUAGAUGAGAGGAAUCACAACCAAAGAGUCUAGAAAGAGACACACCUGGCUCGCAGUCCCACCAAGUUAGCUGGGAAAAGACAGGCUAAACAGGGAGAAAAGUUGUCCACACAGUCUACAGAUACUGUAAAAUAUUUGGUUAGAGGUGCAUUAUUUGUGCAAGUAAGAUGGGCUGCAAGAAAUCCCACCAAUCCAUGGUUUUGGCAUAGAGGGAGGCUAGAACCAUGGUUAGCUUUACUUGGUUCUGCAUUUGAAACAUCUUUUUUCCUCUCUGGUGCUUUUCUUCUCUCAGUGAUAUUUUAUGAAAAACCUGGUAAGCCUGAAGUCUCAGCAGUGUUAGAAUGCAGGGCAGGGACAAACAAAAUAUCUAGUAAAAUCUGUCAGAUCUUGAGUCCCAAGAGCAGAAUGGUAGUACAAAACUCAAAUAUAGGUUUUCAACCAAAGUGAAAUUUUGUUAAAAUCUGACAGCAAAUUUCAGGUUUGCUUGUGGGAAGGGAUGAAAAGGGCAGAAAACAAUGUAGGACCACAAGCUCUAUUCUCCUAGGCAAUCAUGCAAGUAUGAUUCAAAUGCUUCACUAACUAAUUUGUAUGGGGAAAAAAAUAGCAAGGAAAAAAAAAAAGCUCUUGUCUCAAGAAUUCUCUGUAAAACACACCAACCAAGACGACUGAUGCAUCACAAGAUGGAGAAGACAAUGUUCAGAGAACUAGGAAAUGUGUAGGAAUAGGAAUUAGCAGGAAAUUUGCAUA